GACGAACCGUGCGAACGUUAUUCGGAAUCACUGGGCUUAAAGCGCGUGUAGGCGGGCCGGCACGUCGGUGCCUGAAAGCCCCCGGCUCAACCGGGGAAGCGGGGCCGAUACGGCCGGCCUGGAGGGGCGUAGGGGGACCUGGAACUUCCGGUGGAGCGGUGAAAUGCGUUGAGAUCGGAAGGAACGCCCGUGGCGAAAGCGAGGUCCUGGACGCCUGCUGACGCUGAGACGCGAAAGCCAGGGUAGCGAACGGG
rnacentral:rRNA from 1 species